UCCAAUCUUUCUCUUCAUUCUUGCCCAGAUUAAUGGCGCGGCUUUGUUAUCCUCAUUGAAGCCAUGCUCCUCUGAGAGACGCCACCAACAGGCAACAGCUACAAAAUUAGACUUCAAACGCACCGUCAUGUCACACCCCACCACUACCCCAUCUCGCUUCAGAGUCAAUUCUAAAGCCAAGGACUCGCCAAAACCAGAGCUCGCUAAUGGGUCACUGUCACCAGCCAAUCAAGCAAGAGCAAAAUCUGUACCCCCAGAUGUAAAGAAACACUCCAAGAUGAAGAGGUCUCUGCUGCUGAACAAACCCAAAUCUGGAGAGGAUGUGAUAGGAUCUCAAAAGGCUAGGGACAACGAGGAUGUUAGAGUGGUGGCUCGAUCUGUGAAUCGCCCAGUUGUGGAGCAAUUUGCUAGGCCAAGGCGGCAGCGGCCUGUGGAUUCUACUGCUACGAGAAAUGAACAAGAGACCAAAAAGGAA
rnacentral:misc_RNA from 1 species